rnacentral:rRNA from 1 species
UACUACCGAAGCUACGGCAUCAGUAAUGAUGGGUAGGGGAGCUUCCCAUACGGGUUGAAGCAUGACCGUAAGGACAUGUGGACAGUAUGGGAGUGAGAAUGUUGGCAUGAGUAGCGAGAUGUGGGUGAGAAUCCCACAGGCCGUAAACCCAAGGUUUCCAGGGGAAGGUUCGUCCGCCCUGGGUUAGUCGGGACCUAAGCUGAGGCCGAAAGGCGUAGGUGAUGGACAACAGGUUGAUAUUCCUGUACUACCGAUAACCGUUUGAGAGAAGGGAUGACACAGUAGGAUAAGCUAAGCACACUGUUGGUUAUGUGUGCCCAAGCAUUGAGGCAGUCAAAGGAGGCAAAUCCGCUUUGAUAAUGCUGGGAUGUGAUGGGGAGCGAAAUU